AACAGGAUUAGAUACCCUGGUAGUCCACGCUGUAAACGAUGUCGAUUUGGAGGUUGUGCCCUUGAGGCGUGGCUUCCCGAGCUAACGCGUUAAAUCGACCGCCUGGGGAGUACGGCCGCAAGGUUAAAACUCAAAUGAAUUGACGGGGGCCCGCACAAGCGGUGGAGCAUGUGGUUUAAUUCGAUGCAACGCGAAGAACCUUACCUACUCUUGACAUCCAGAGAACUUAGCAGAGAUGCUUUGGUGCCUUCGGGAACUCUGAGACAGGUGCUGCAUGGCUGUCGUCAGCUCGUGUUGUGAAAUGUUGGGUUAAGUCCCGCAACGAGCGCAACCCUUAUCCUUUGUUGCCAGCGGUUCGGCCGGGAACUCAAAGGGGACUGCCAGUGAUAAACUGGAGGAAGGUGGGGAUGACGUCAAGUCAUCAUGGCCCUUACGAGUAGGGCUACACACGUGCUACAAUGGCGUAUACAAAGAGAAGCGACCUCGCGAGAGCAAGCGGACCUCAUAAAGUACGUCGUAGUCCGGAUUGGAGUCUGCAACUCGACUCCAUGAAGUCGGAAUCGCUAGUAAUCGUAGAUCAGAAUGCUACGGUGAAUACGUUCCCGGGCCUUGUACACACCGCCCGUCACACCAUGGGAGUGGGUUGCAAAAGAAGUAGGUAGCUUAACCUUCGGGAGGGCGCUUACCACUUUGUGAUUCAUGACUGGGGUGAAGUCGUAACAAGGUAACCGUAGGGGAACCUGCGGCUGGAUCACCUCCUU
rnacentral:rRNA from 1 species